UACGUAGGGUGCAAGCGUUGUCCGGAAUUAUUGGGCGUAAAGAGCUCGUAGGCGGUUUAUCGCGUCUGCUGUGAAAACUCGGGGCUCAACUCCGAGCUUGCAGUGGGUACGGGCAGACUAGAGUGCGGUAGGGGAGACUGGAAUUCCUGGUGUAGCGGUGGAAUGCGCAGAUAUCAGGAGGAACACCGGUGGCGAAGGCGGGUCUCUGGGCCGUAACUGACGCUGAGGAGCGAAAGCGUGGGGAGCGAACAGG
rnacentral:rRNA from 1 species